UCGAAACCUGCCCAGCAGAAUGACCCGCGAACUUGUACAUAAGCUGGCUUAUGCUAGCAUUGGGCAUCCGCAUCGUUUGGGCGAUUAGGGAGCGUGGGCCUAGCCCCCCCUACAUCCCUCGUUCUUGGAUGGUUUAUGCUAACACUGGCCCCUGCCUUGAUUCGGGCGAUAGGGAGCGCGGGCCUAGCCCCCCCUAUCCCUCGCUAAUCGGCCGGCCUAUGUUAGCAUUUGGCAUUCACAUGGCCUCGAUCGGGCGAUUAGGGAGCGUGGGCCUAGCCCCCCCUACAUCCCUCGUUCUUGGAUGGUUUAUGCUAGCAUUGGCCCUUGCCUUGAUUCGGGCGAUAGGGAGCGCGGGCCUAGCCCCCCCUAUCCCUCGCUAAUCGGUAGGCCUAUGCUAGCAUUUGGCAUUCACAUGGCUUGGACCGGGCGAUUAGGGAGGGCGGGCCUAGCCCCCUUACAUCCAUCGUUCCUGGAUGGCUUAUGCUAGCACUGGCCCUACACAUGGCCUCGGACGGGCGAUUAGGGAGCUUGGGCCUAGCCCCCCCUACAUCCCUCGUUCUUGGCUUCUAACCAACCCCCGGCGCGGAAAGCGCCAAGGAAUUACAAGCGAAAAGAACGGUCGCCCCAAUUGCCCCGGAAACGGUGUGUGAAAGGGACGAUUCGUGAUUUGAGAAUCUAAACGACUCUCGGCAACGGAUAUCUCGGCUCUCGCAUCGAUGAAGAACGCAGCGAAAUGCGAUACUUGGUGUGAAUUGCAGGAUCCCGCGAACCAUCGAGUUUUUGAACGCAAGUUGCGCCCGAAGCCUUUUGGCCGAGGGCACGUCUGCCUGGGUGUCACUCAAUCGUCGCUCCGACCCCUUCUUUCUUGGAAGGGCUGUGAAUCGGGCGGAAAAUGGCCUCCCGUUUGCUUUUUGCGUGCGGUUGGCCCAAAUGACCGGUCCUCGGCAUCGUCGCCACGGCAAUCGGUGGUUGUAUGACCCUCGCUAAAUGCUGUGAGCGAUCCGGUGCUGGCGUGACCUAUGAGGCCCCAAAGCGUAUCACAAGACGCGCUCGCAAUGCGACC
rnacentral:rRNA from 1 species